AAGGACUGUGCUCCCAAUCCGCUUAUGCUCAAGGAAGAACUGCCUGGAAGCCCUCCCUGGUACCAUACCCCAGCCGAUGAGUAUGUACCCCCAGAAGUACUUCCGCUCGGAGAAGAAGGAGACGGCAAGCAGGGUGUACAGGAAGGCCCAGAACCAGCCUGAUGUCAGGAUCAGAACAAAAGAGGAGGACUGCAUAUGUAUGGACCCACUCCAGAUGGCACGGGGACGGGGGGGAGUAGGAAAAGUGGCAUGAGACCAGGCCCACAGAGUAUGGCUGUGCAAGUUGUUUACUGUACGAGGGCACCUGGCCGGGGUCUUACCUUGAAUGGGGGAGAAGAGCUUGAAGAUGAGGGGACAGGCCAAGACAACUACCUGGCCCCGAGGGGUGGCUGGCCAGCAGAUGAGGGAAUGGAGGCACAGACUGAUUAGAAAACCAGCUCAAGGUCAUGUUGCUGGGCUCUCUGGUGGAGCCUGUCUCACAGGCCACCUGCAGGCCAACACUCCCAGAAGCAGCUAGCACCAUGGUUGACCUCGUCCAGGUCCAGGGAAGGCCUCCCUCUCC
rnacentral:antisense_RNA from 1 species